UACGGAGGAUGCGAGCGUUAUCCGGAUUUAUUGGGUUUAAAGGGUGCGUAGGCGGUCUGUUAAGUCAGCGGUAAAAUUGCGGGGCUCAACCCCGUCGAGCCCUUGAAACUGGCAGACUUGAGUUGGCGAGAAGUACGCGGAAUGCGCGGUGUAGCGGUGAAAUGCAUAGAUAUCGCGCAGAACUCCGAUUGCGAAGGCAGCGUACCGGCGCCACACUGACGCUGAGGCACGAAAGCGUGGGGAUCGAACAGG
rnacentral:rRNA from 1 species